rnacentral:rRNA from 1 species
UCUCUAGAAGACAUCUGAAAGAGAUUAAAGAUUUAUCGGUGAUGGAUGGGGAUGCGUCUGAUUAGCUUGUUGGCGGGGUAACGGCCCACCAAGGUCAACGAUCAGUAGGGGUUCUGAGAGGAAGGUCCCCCACAUUGGAACUGAGACACGGUCCAAACUCCUACGGGAGGCAGCAGUGAGGAAUAUUGGUCAAUGGACGAGAGUCUGAACCAGCCAAGUAGCGUGCAGGAAGACGGCCCUAUGGGUUGUAAACUGCUUUUAUAAGGGAAUAAAGUGAGUCUCGUGAGACUUUUUGCAUGUACCUUAUGAAUAAGGACCGGCUAAUUCCGUGCCAGCAGCCGCGGUAAUACGGAAGGUCCGGGCGUUAUCCGGAUUUAUUGGGUUUAAAGGGAGCGUAGGCCGGAGAUUAAGCGUGUUGUGAAAUGUAGAUGCUCAACAUCUGCACUGCAGCGCGAACUGGUUUCCUUGAGUACGCACAAAGUGGGCGGAAUUCGUGGUGUAGCGGUGAAAUGCUUAGAUAUCACGAAGAACUCCGAUUGCGAAGGCAGCUCACUGGAGCGCAACUGACGCUGAAGCUCGAAAGUGCGGGUAUCGAACAGGAUUAGAUACCCUGGUAGUCCGCACGGUAAACGAUGGAUGCCCGCUGUUGGUCUGAAUAGGUCAGCGGCCAAGCGAAAGCAUUAAGCAUCCCACCUGGGGAGUA